GUGUCAGCCGCCGCGGUAAAACGUAGGAGACAAACGUUAUCCGGAGUUACUGGGCGUAAAGGGCGUGCAGGCGGUGGACUAAGUUCGGCGUGAAAGCGCCCGGCUAAACCGGGCGAGGUCGUCGGAGACUGGUCGACUAGAGGACGGUAGAGGCGGGUGGAAUUCCGGGUGUAGUGGUGAAAUGCGUAGAGAUCCGGAGGAACACCAGUGGCGAAGGCGACCCGCUGGGCCGUACCUGACGCUAAGACGCGACAGCAUGGGGAGCGAACGGGAUUAGAUACCCGCGUAGUCC
rnacentral:rRNA from 1 species